GUCCCUUUGGACCCCGACCAGGCCCUAGCUCUCCCUCCUGGUGACUGGUCCAAGACCCGUGGAUGGGUCUGCCAUGGGGCCCCUCACGGAGUGCAGAAGAGCUUUGUCCCUGAACCCUGGAUCCAUGGUGGGUCUGGGCCUGCCCUGGGCCUCCUUGGCCCUGGAGGGUGCGCUCCCCAGCUUCCGAGGCUGAGCCAGCCAGCCGGUGUUGCUCCUGUUUGCGGCCGGGGAGUCCCACCUCCAGUUAGAGACUUCUCUCUUUUGUAGGCUCUAGAAACUCUGAGAAGGGCCCUAAAUGCUGGGCCCUCGAUUAAGGGGUUUCAGAAGGCAGGAGCCUCAGGGACGCCUUGCUUUGCAAAGGCCUUUGUGUUCCAGGAACUGCUCUCUGUGGCCACCUCAAGACGAGGUGUUUUUGACAAACAUGUGUCACCUGCAUGACACUUGUAAGCAGUUAUGCCAUGGCCAUAAAUCUGGGCUUGUGCUGCCGAGUGCGAUACCGGCUCCUACAUGUGGCUGAAGCACUGCCAACGGUGUCUCUGCUGGUUUGUCUGGCAGUGGGGGGUGCCAGGCUGCUUCAGGACACAUCGGCUCCCAGCCAGUGGCUGUAUGCUAUGAAGGUCCCAACGCCGACGUCUUUCUCAGCAUCCCACUCCCCCUUCCUGACCUUCCUGGCUCCCACUGGAUGUCUCACAAUGUGGACACUUUUGCACCCAGUCAUGCUAAUUGCUCUGAAAAGAAAUAAAGCGGGAGGAGUGUGCAGGGAGUGACGCAGGCCAUUUGUAAGAAAGAUCUGUGAUCUCCGGUUUGUUUAACAAACCUACUGGGUCAGAGCCUGAAGGAAAUGGGGGGGAGCCGUGCGGGUAUCCGGGAAGAGCAUGCUAGUCAGGAGAGCUGCACAUGCAAAGGCCCGGAGGUCAGGUUGGGUCUUAUGGGUUGCAGGCAGGUGUGUCUGGAGUGCAGUGAGAGGGGCAAAGCUGGGAGCAGGGUGGGAGUAGGGAGCAUCGUGUGGGAUGGUGAGGCAUUUGGCUUUCACCUGGAGUGUCACGGAAAGCGGCUGGAAGGCCCUGGGUAGGUCCAGGAAACCGCAGAGGAGGCCAGAUGGCUUAGGCGCAGCCGCUCCCGGGCCAACUAGACCUUGGUCGUAACUGUGCUGACUGUAGAUCCUAGCUGUAGAGCGGAACCCAGGUGACAGCAAACAUGAGGGCCAGGUGACGGUCCCGAGGCCACCAGUCCAUCUGUCUGCAGCCAGGCCUCUGCCUAUAGAUCCUGCAGCCUGUGCAUCCUGCCCAGAAUGCUGGGAUGCCGGGAUCAGUUAGGUUCUGCUGCGGAAUAACCACCCCGAAAUGUAGCGGCUUGCACCAACUGUUGACUUAGCUGGGCAGCUAGCUGCUCGGGCAGGUCUUCCGGGCUCCCUCAAGCAUGUGUGGUCAAUGGCAGGGGUCGGCUGAUUGCCGGCUGGCUGUUGGCCGGGGCGACUAGGGGCGGUGGUGAGUAGGCUACACGUGUCCCAUUCUUCCAGGAGGCCGUCUGGGCUUCUGCACAUGGUGGUGCCAGGGUCCCGAGAGGGUGGGCACGCAAGGCCACGAGGGUCUUUGUGGCCUACGCCUGAAAAUAGCACGGCAUCAUUUCCACCACAUUCUGUCGGCCAGAGCAAGUCACGGAGCCAGCGCAGAUUCAAAGUGGGGGGAUCUAGACCCCACCCCUGGUGGGAAGAGCUGCCCCAUCAUAGUGCAAAGAGUACGGAGACAGGGGACAGGAGGAACAGAGCUGUUUAGGGGUCAACCGCAGUGUCCCGUGUUCUGGAGAGAGGAGCAAGGCAGGAGCCAGGGCCCCAGAACAGUCAGCCAUGGCUGUGUCUCUGUCGCCCUGAAGAAACCAGACCCCCAACAAUCCAGGACUAGGCAGAGGAAGCUCGGACCAUUUGUUCCUUUGUCACCAAAUGCCACCUAGCCAGUAGCCAUAGACUCAACAGUCCCCAUGGAGGUGUCUUUCUCUGGGAUGCUUACACCCAAGGACUGCGGAGAUCAUAUGGAACAUCGCACACCUUUGGCACCACCUCUUCCAGGAAGCCCUCCAGGCUUCUUCUGGGCUCUCCCAGGCUCACCGCCCUGCCCCCGUCACAGAAGUCAGUGUACUUGUGUCCCUCAUUGAUGCACGUGUGUGUCAGCCUCCUGAGUCAGAAAGGCCAAGGCCUGAGGACGGGGCUGUGUCUCACUCACCCCGAAUCCCUACUCCUAGCUGGGAGUGUGCACUGAGGAUGAGGCUGGCAAGGUAUGGGUAUACUGGGGACCUGCGUUCAGGGCUGACUCACAGUUGAUGUCUGCAAGGGAAGGGGAGGGUCACUGUACCUGGUAGCAGGCCCCAGAUGAGCUCGGCCUGGAGCCGGGACGGGGGGUGCUGGGAACGCAUGCUGGAUGCAGGCGGCAGCCAGAGCUCAGUGGAGCAAGGGCAGAGACCACAGUCCUCUUGCAGACAGAAAUGGGUCUCAAGCUCUGGGCGCAGGCACCAAGGCAGGAAGGCAGCCCACAGGAGAGCGUGCAGAGAAGCCACUCCGGGUGUUCAAGGCCAGCACUGGGCAGAUGGAAAGGCAGGCAGGACCUGCCAACCCCGAGGGAAAAAGAAACAUCAGCCACGUUUGGCUAUAGUCAGCUUUCGUUUACUGGAGUUUCCCUUGCCUGAGAUCCACUGUACCCAAAAUCAAUAUUAUUAACAUUAAAAAAGAGAAGCCAACUAGGAGGUAGCAACCCCGAAUGCACUGUGGUUUCGGUGCCAUCCCAGCGCAGGAGAAAAACCUUCAUCACCUUCUCAUGCAUACCAGAGACAAGGGAGGGAAGAAUGGCGGCGGCGGGGGUGGGGGGAGCGGUCUUCACGAGGCCUCCAAGAGUGCCUCCCUGGGGCUCAUAGUGAGUUAAGCCAGCCUGGCCUGCGAGUGUGCCAGCUCGUCCUGCCCACCUGGCGUCAGCACCAUUGCCCCGGCCUGGGCCGGGCCGUCUCCUGUGGGGAGAGAGCUUGAAGCUUUUGCAGUUUGUAGUGGUCUGUUGUAUUUAGAAACCCGAGCAUCCCAGGGUCAUAAAUUACCUUGAACUAGUUUGCUAACCCUUGUGACUCGGUACAGCGCCUUCUCAGAAGCGGCCAGUUAUGUCACGGACUGAGUGAGGCGUGGCCCAGUCCCCGCAGCGAGGCAGCGUGUGCCAGGCCUGGCGUGGAUGGUAGCCACCCAGGACCACGGGGACGAUGCAGGGAGGUGCCGCAGGUCUGUGCACGGCAUUUCUGUGGAAAUGCACUCCAGAAGGGAGAAGGGUCUGUGAGUCCAUGAAGUGGGAUUCUCACUCCCGGCACGUGGUCGUGAGAGCUGUACCACAUGGAAGAGGCAGAGGGCACCGUGUAGUUCAGCAUUCCUGUUACGUCCCUGCUGGAGGAUCAGCUCCUGCUGGCACCUUCCCACGGAUGGGGGCUCAUCGCUGCCUGAGACAUUGCACACUGACAGGAAGUUAGCUUCCCGCAAAUUCCAGCUCCAUCAUCUGGGUACAUGUUCUGAAUCGGUGCUUGCAACAGCCUGGACAGAGUGGGAGGCCGUUGCAAGGCUGCUGGCCAGCUAGGACGGCUCUCCCAGCCUUUCCUCCAUUGCCACAGCCCUCUGGCCACAACAGGUGCUAAAGGGCCCAUCUGGUUAGACAUUCCGAGUGUUACCCCUGCACUGCAAGUUCAUUGGCCACGGCAAUGUUGACAUCAAGAGAAACACGUGUCAUUUUCUCAUCUCUAGAAAGAGCUCCAACCCCCUCCCCGUUUUUGUAAUCAGAAAGCAGAGGGGUGACCCACACUUUCUGGGGUCAUGGGGAGGAGAUUCAGGUGUGAAGGGAGCAUCUGCUUGUAAUGUGGGAUCCAGUUCCAGGAUCCCCUGGCGUUCCUUGAAAUUUGCUGGAGAAACACAACCCAUUUGAUGUGCAAAACCAGGCUUCCAACAGAAUGGGACAGCUGAAACAGCCCAAAAAUGGACAAACCACAUGAAACAGGUUUUGAAGACACUGAAUGAACAUCAGGCAACAAUGGACAGUGAUCCCUGAGAGGAGGGAAGUGAUCUCAGUGGUGCUCUGAGCAUCUUCCUUGGGAAGAGGUCAUGACCCAACUUGGCAGGUGGUGUGUGUGUGUGUGUGUGUGUGUGUGUGUGUGUGUAGUAAGGGAGGGGAGGACAGAGCCUGGAGUCCUCCCUGAGUUAAAGAGGUGGAGCUGAGUGUCUGGAAAGACCAAAGCAGCUAGAGCUCACCACAAGUAUCAAAGAGGACUGCACGGCAUGAAGCGAGUACUCAGGACAUCUGCAGAGUUUCUCCCUUGGGUAUUCAGUGGAGUGCUGGCUAGGACAUGUGCGAGAGAGACUGGGAAAUUAACUAUCCAAAAGAAGUCGGAGGUAGCAAGUGUCUGCUCUUACCAGCCAGACUAGAAAACCUCAUGAUGCCUGGGACAUUGGCUAAAGUAUUCUGAACAGACUUGCCCCAGUAGUAGGAAAGGAUUAGCCCUAAGCCAAGCACUGCUGAAUUUGACAACCUUAAAAACAAGACACUAAAGGAUCAAGUUAUUUCCACAUAACUUACCAUGUCCCAGAACAAAGCUCAAGGUGGUUUAGAGGAAUACAAAAAUAUCCAGCAGGGCGAAAUUCACAAAGUCUGACGUCCAGUGAAAAGUUUUAUGGCAUGGAAACAGGCAAGAAAAUAUGACCCAUAGGAGAAGAAAAAUUCAUCAAACUGGCCCAAAAUAAACACUGAUGCUAGAAUUAGCAGAAAAGGCCAUUAAAAUAGUUAUUAUAACUGCAUGCCAUAUGUUCAACAGGUUGUGUAUAAACAUGCAAGAUUUUUUUUUAACUUGUAAAGAUUAAACUCUAAUGCAGUCACAAAAAAUAUUCAAAUAAUUUUAAAAAAGGGUUAGGAAAAGAAGAAAAAUAGAACAAGGAACCAAUGAGAUAGAAAGAAAACAAACAGAUAUGUCUAAUCAUUUCAGUAUUCAUAUUAAAUGUAAGUGGCCUAAAUACACUAAUUAAAAGGCAGUGAUUGUCAGAUAUGGUGGGGGUUUUUUUCUUAAUGUUUCUUUUUGAGAGAGAGAGAAAGCAAGCAGGGGAGGGGUAGAAAGAGGGAGACACAGAAUCCAAAGCAGGCUCCAGGCUCUGAGCUGUCAGCACAGAGCCCAACACAGGGCUGGAACCCACAAACUGUGAGAUCAUGACUUGAGCUGAAGUCCGGCGCUUAAUUGACCAAGCCACCCAGGCACCCCAGAUUAGAUGUUUUUAAAAAGCAAGAACUAUGUACUACCUACAAGAAAUACCUUAAAUAUAAAGAUGAAAAUAUGUUAAAAGUAAAAGGAUGGAAAACAGAUGUAAUAAACCAGGGGCCACCAGAAGGAAGCAGGGCUCAUGACUGAGCCAGAGAAGCCUAGGGGAGCCAGGAGCUCCCAUGGGAGGUGCACCUGAGAGCUCCUCUGCUCAUGAGUCAGGGGUGGGGUCACUGCCCAUGACAUUUGCCAGUUAUGCCACCAAUGGCAGUCCUACCGGUGCCCUUUCUUGAGUUCUGUGUGUGAGCCCUGUCUACCUCUUCACAGUCUGGGCAUCUCCGGUUUGCACAAUUGCAAUCCACUGUGGCUGUGGGGGGAGGGAGGAUGGGAGGUGCCACUAAUAGCCCCACUUUACAGAGGAGCCACUGCUCACCACCUGUCAGAGUCCUGUGGGUCUUUAUUGAGAUCCAUAGACUAUUCUGGCAGAGCAGGGCCUCAGGAAUCAUUGAAUAUGAGCCCCCCUUAUAGGCAGAGAAACUGAGGUUCAGGAGUUGAGCACAACUUCCAAUGGUUAACACUCUGGAGUCCUAGACUCCCCCGCUUUAGGGGCGCAGUUUGGUGAGCUCAUCAAGACCCCUGAGAAGCUGCCCUCCCCCAGCAGUCACAGCUUACUAAAGCAACCAGGAUGACCUGAUCUAUAAAUGGGGUCCUGACGUUCCGCUAUCACCACCCUCCCCCUGCCCCCACAGGCUGCUCACCCUCACAGCCUUGCAAAGGGGCCAUGCACCCUAAUGUGAGCCUCCUCAGGGCACAAAAGGGUUGCCAGACUGAGGAUUGGAGGGAACCCACACUAAGCAGCUGGAUUGGCCUGAGUGGGCAGCAUCUCUUGGGCUGCUCUCGUCCAAAAGCUGCCAUACCCCGAUACAGACAGAAGUGAGCAUGCCUGUGUUCCAGCAAAACUUGACUUACAAAAGCAGGCAGCAAGCCACAUUUGGCUCAAGACCCGUAGUUGGUCAGCCUUUGUUCUACAUAUAGCAAGUCCCAUGAUAACCCAGAUUGAUCAGCCUGACUCCAGGCCAAGCGGCAGACCUGCUACGGGCCCAGGGCAGAGUAGGGUACUGGGGGGCGCAGAACUGGGCCUGGGUUCCAUGUUCCGUCACGCACUAUACUCCUAGCAACUUGCUUGACGUCUCUGGGCCUCACUGUCCACACCUGAAGGCUGGAUCCGGAGUGCAAACUCAGAGCUGCUGGGGCCACAUUACCACAUAACGGAGAAAGGCUGGCUGGUGGGGAGACUUGGGCCCAUCUAAGGACUCAGCUGGCUUCUCCAUUGCCGCCAAUCAUCGCCGAUAGGGACACUGGCCCCCAACAUUUCAGAAGUCACAGGCCACAUUUAGAUGUGAACCCUCGUGGUUGUAUGCUGGCCACUGACUCAGGCCAGCCUGACUUGCGUGGGGCCGACCACACCCACAAGCCGUGUCCCUUUGCGACCCCUCAGCUCAGGGCUUGUCUGCUUUUACUAGGGGACAGAGAAGACUGACUUUCCCAACAGACGCUGUUUUCGGGUUUGAAACGAGUUGCGGGGGUGGGGGGUGGGGGCAAACGUUAGAAAUAGACUCCCUUGCCUCACCCGUACGCCUGUGUUCGUUUCCACCUGGUAAUAACCUUCCGAGGCCUUCCAUGUUGAGCUCACAUAUCUCAGACUUAGCCUGUGCAAAACCUUCUUGGCUGGGUUUUUCUUAAUCAUUUGCUCAGUGGGUGUAUUAUUUGACAUGUAAUUGUCUUCCUGGGAGAUUAACUUUCAGGGCCCUGAAUGGUCUUUAUUAAAAUAAAGAGAGCGGUAAAUUCGAGCCCUGUCCCAUGGGGCAUGCAGGAGACCCAGCACACCUCAUACUGGGCGCGCGCAUGAAGACGUUCCUCUCAGUGGGAAAGGGUCACCAGCCUGCACGUUCUCCAAGCCCUCCUCCUUCAUUAGACUGACGCUGAAGGAGUGAAGGAGCUCCUGGUGGAUCCGAGGAGUUGGGAUGCUGCUGCCCCCUGGAGGGCCCAGAGCCUGGUGUCGUGGUGAGGAGGAUGUGGAUUCGCCUCCUAACCUAUCCAGCAAUGAGGCCAUGUGACCUCGGCAAGGUCCACCACUCUCUGAGCUCCAGGGUCCUGGGCAGCAAAGUGAAGCCGCUGGUGGGGACCUAGUGGAAAUACUCUUCCUGGGAGUCUGUGCUGAGCUCCAGCUUUGAGAGCACUGGUUAUCCUGCAGGGCACAGUUAGCAGUCUGCGACCCACAUGCUGCCUUACCCCUGUGUGUCUCCUGAGUGUGCAGCUCUGUUCAGCUCCUGGUUCCCCUCCCCAGCCCCUCUAUGCAUUCAUUCAUUGUUUCCUUCCUUCCUUCCUUCCUUCUCACACUCAGUCCAUUCUCCACUGGACAGCCAGAGGGAUCCCGAUAAAAGCUAGGUCAGUGCCAGCCCCUCAGCCCCCUACCAUGGGCUCCCUCCUCACGCACAGUGAGAAACAGCGUCCUCCCCAUAACCCUCAUGGUCCUGAUCAUCUGCCCCAUCAUCCUUCUGCCCUCAUCUCUUCCUGCGGUCACUGGCUGGGUUCCAGGCACACUCCUGCCCCAGGGCCUUUGCACUGGCAAUGCCUUCUGCCUGGCUCACUCUUCCCCCCGGACACCUGCGUGGCUCCCUCACCAUCAAGUCUUUACAUGGUUUCAUCUCCUGGGGGCCUUCCCUGACCAGCCUGUUUGUACUUGCAACAUUAACCCCUUCCCCUGAGAGGGUAUUUCUAUCCACAGUGCACGUCACCGUGUGCCAGAUUUGGUUUACUGUCAUCCCCCUCGCUGGAAAGCGGACAUCCUGCAGGCAGGCCUGACCCAGGGCAGGUGCUAGGAGCUCUUGCCUGCCUCUGGCAGACCUGGAUUAUUUCCACCCAGCCUUGAGGGAUGUGGUCUUUAGUUUGGAUGGAGGGCCCAUUUCAGUCUCCUGCUGCCUUAGCAGUGCCCUGAGCCCGGGGUAAGUUCUGGAGGGCUGCACAACGCCCAGCUCACCCGGCAGCCCCUGGUCUCUUCCCUCCAUUGUCAGAGCCAGGAAUUCCGCAGCCUGGCCCAGUGCCCAGCCCCUGCGACGCUCCGCUGAUUCCGCGGAGGGGAGCACCUACUUCCUGUGGGCCAGGGACUCUUAGCCCCGUUCUUUCCCUUUUGCUCUUUGUAGAUGGCACCGCCCCAAAGCAGGCCCCAAGCCUAUCAUCCUCCAGAGACAAAAACAGCCGGUUUGUGCCUCCCUGGCCACCCCUGCUUGUCCACUCAGGACUGGCCUUGGCCCUGUUGUGCCCUGGCUGCCCAGGACCUUGACAGGUGGCAUCUCAGAGCACGUCAGCUUACGGGUGCACAGCUCUGCGUAGGGCCUUGGUCCCUGGGGCAGCGAGCACCUUAUCCCUACAGGGGCCAGGAGGGUCCGUGCAGAGUAGGGUGGUUCAUUCAAGUCGUGUCAUGCGUCCAUAUGUCUGUCUAUCCUUUCAGUAAAUAGUCACCAAGCAGCUGUUCUCUGCCUGGCCCUGCCGUGUAUGCUGGGAACAGGAUGAAGCCCUGUCCCGAUGGGGCCGGCCUCCCCUCUCCAAGCCUUAGGGCCCUCCUGUGUCAAAUGAGAGUAAUAACAUUGGCUUCCCGGGAGGCUGUGAGGAGUACAUGAGACAGAUAUAGAACAGAAUCAACAAAUGUUUUCUGUCAAGGGCCAGACAGGAAAUAUUUUAGGCUCUGUGGGCCAUACAGUCUGUCGUCACCACUCAAUUCUGCAGAUGCCCCAGCCACUGACGACAUGUCAACGGUGGGUGUGUGGCUGCACUCCAGUGAGACCUUAGGAAAACAGCCGGUGGGCCAGAUGUGGCCUGGGGGCCGUGUCCUGCUGGCCUCUGGUGCAGAGUGUCUGGGAUGGGCGCAGAAGGGACAGCUGCUGCUCUAAUCAUGGCUGAUGAUGAUGGUGGUGAUGCUGUCCUCCUCUGGGACCCAGGACUACAGGAAAGUUGCGGUCUGGGGUUGCAGAGUGCUGGGGGCAAAGCAGGCACGAGGUGAGCGAGAUUUCAACAGCACCGCUUUCUGCUUCCAUCUGUUUAAGUCUCACUUAGUCUGUCUGGGUUUCCCUGGAGCCGCACUUAAUCCCUAACAGGGCAGGGUAAGUUCUGGGAGAAGGGAGAGCUAGCACUUAACUCAUGGCCGAGGUCGGCCAGGAGGCCCCGCAGAGGCGGCCGAUCUCACCCUGCCUGGUGCCACCACUUUGAAGCAAGCCUGGGCUGUGCCCUCGGGGGCAGCUGAGUGCAGGCAGGGGCCCGGCAGUUCUCAUGCGUCCUGCUUUAUUGCCCGAGAGACUCCUCCGCUGGCACUGUCUUUUUCCCUGGUGCUCCGAGAUCCCUCUGCUCAUUGCUCUAUGCAGCCCCGUCUCAGAUUGUGUUCUAAAUUCUUCUUAGUUAAAUGUUUGCCUCCUCCCUCUAGACUACGAGCAGCUCCUCCUUUGGGAAGGGAAGAGGAAGAAUUAACAUUAAUUGAAUGUGUGCCACGCGGAGGCCUUGGGGACGAGGAGUUCAAGGAGACCAGAGAGGUCCCAUGCCUGCCCAAGGGCACACAGAUUAAGAGCCACGGAGCUGGGAUCUGGAGUUGGGACCCUCCCUUGCUCCCUCGCCCUGUGUGCGCUCUGUCUCAUCCUGACAGGAGAGGCCAGGCAUGAGGAACACAAGUUGAAGUCAGAGAGGCUGGGGCUGAGAAUGCCUGCUCCCACCAAGCGUCAGGUUGCUCAUCUGUAAAUGGGACACAGCGACGGUCACCACCUCUCAGAGUGAUCCUAAGGAUCCAGUGAGGUCUGGAGGGAGGGAGGAAGAGGGACAGAGAGCCCUCACCCUGUCUCUUGGGGCCUGAAGGUCACUACCGCUGGAGACUGCGCAGUCAGCCCCAUGCACACCCUUCUCCCUGAGCUGGAGUGUCAGCGGCAGGCCCUUGUGCGUUACGUCCUCACACUGUCCCUGUGCCAAAGGAGUGCCUUCCAAAGAGCAUGCCCCCGUGGCCAAAAAGAGUUCUGAAAGCCUUCCUAGGAAAGUGGGGAGCAGGAAGGGGUCUGCCCUUUGCCCCUACCCGAGUCAUUGACCGGUUCCCAAGUGGGCCCACAGAGAACCCAGGAAAUGGUCCUUAGCUCACAAGGUAGGGUGUGAUGGCCUUCUGUGCUGACAGAGAGGCCAACAGAAAUGCUGUGCUGUGCUGUGCUGUGCUGGGAAAAGCAAAGCCCACGCCACGUUGGAAAAUCAGGGUUCCAACCCACUCUUUUUUUUUUUUAUUAAUGUUUAUUCAGUUUUUGAGAGACAGAGAGUGAGUGGGGAGGGGCAGAGAGAGAGGGGGAGACACGGAAUCCAAAGCAGGCUCCAGGCUCCCAGCCGUCAGCACAGAGCCCGACACGGGGCUCGAACCCACACACCGCAAGAUCGUGACCUGAGCCGAAGUCGGACGCAAACAGACUGAGCCACCCAGGCGCCCCCCAACCCACCCUUAAUCCUGGCACCCCAUAGUCAGCCUCAUCGUCGUCCAGCGUGAUCAGUAUCCCUACCACCGCCCUCAUCCUGUGCCCGUCGGAAGCCAGACUGCCCCACGUGCACUGUGUGAGGGUCCAGUUCUCUGGGUCCCUUUCGAAGGAUGGGGUUGGAGGGACCAAACAGUGUGCUCACGUGGGGAGGUGCUUUUUAUUUUCCAUUUCCUUUUUAAAAUCUACAUAACAUAAUAUUCGCCAUUUUAACCAUUGGUGUGAGGUGGAGAGGCAUAAGUAACCGUCCCCACCAUCCACCUCCGGAACUUUUCCAUCUCCCCAAACUGAAACCCUGUCCACAUUAAACACAUCUCCCCAGGCUUCUCCCCCGCCUCCCCCCGCCACCCCGGCGCCUGCAGCCACCAUUCUGCUUUCCGUCUCUGAGUUUGAUGACUCUAGGGACCUCAUACGAGUGAAGUCAUGCAGUGUUUGUCCUUUUGUGAUGGGUUCAUUUCACUUCGCAUAAUGUCCUCAACGUUCAUCCACGUCGCAGCAUGUGUUGGAACUUCCUUCUUUUUUAGGGCUGCGUGAUACUCUAUCGUAUGGCUCGGUCACGUUUUGUUCUCUCCAUUCAUCCAUCGUUGGACACUUGGCUCGUUUCUGCCUUUCAGCCACUGUGAAUCACGGUGCUCUGAGCGUGGUGUAGAGAUGUCUCUUUGAGACGCUGCUUUCCAUUCUUCCGGGUACCUGCCCGCAAGUGGAAUUGCUGGAUUGUAAUGAUAAUUCUACAGUAAGUUUUUUGAGGAACCGCCCUACUGUUUCCCACAGCUGCUGCACCAGGUUACGUUCCACCAGCAGUGCACGCAUUUCCCCCACAUCUUGCCCAGUGCUGUUCUGGGUUUUGGUAACCGCCAUCGCUUGGGUGCGACGUGGUAUCUCAUUGUGGUUUUGGUUUGCAUUUGCCUAAGUUGAGCAUCUUUUCAUGUGCAUUCCGGUCAUGUGUAUCCGUUCAAGCCCUUCAUACGUUUUUUUCAUUGGGUUGUUGUUUUUUUCUUGUUGAGUUUUAACAGCUCUUUAUUCUGGAUCUCAAUCCCUUACCAAAUUCAUGAUUUACCAAUAUUACCUCUCAUUCCGUGGGUUUUCUUCUCGCUCUGUCGACGCGUCCCCUUAUAUACAAAAGUUUGUACUUUUGAUGAAUUCUGGCGUAGCUGUUUUUUUCCCUUGGGUCCUGUGUAUGUUUUGUCUCUGACUGCUUUAGUAUUAUAUCCAAAAAAAUAAUAAUUGCCACACCCUGGUGUCAUAAAGUGUCAUAAAGCUUUCUGUAUGUUUCUAAGAUUUUUAUAGUUUCAGUUCUAAUGUUUAGGUCUUUGAUCUGUUUGAAUUAAUUUUUUAUAUGGUGUGACGUUUGGAUCUGACUUUAUUCUUCUGCAUGUGGAAUCCAGUUUCCAUGACCCCAUUCGUUGAACACUGACCUUUCACCCUGCAGUGCUCUUGGCCCCCUUGUCUCAGACCAUUUGACCAUGUAUGUGAGGGUUUAUUUCUGGGAUCUCUGUUCUAUGCUGUGUUUGUAAAGUUUUAUUGGAACAUGGCCAUACCGUUCACUUAUGUAUUGUCUACAGCUGCUUUGGAGAGAAAACAGAGUCAGAGUAGCUGUGACAGAGAAAGUCAGGCUCUGGGGGCAGCUGGGUGGCUCAGUCGGUUAAGCAUCUGACUCUUGAUUUUGGCUCAGGUCGUGAGCUCUUAGUUUCGUGGGUUCAGACCCAGCAUUGGCUCUGUGCAGAACCAGCUUGGGAUUUUCUCUGCCCCUCCCCUACUCAUGCUGUCUCUCUCUCUCUCUCUCUCUCUGUGUCUCUCUCUGUCUCUUUCUCUCAAAAUAAAUAAAUAGACUUUAAAAAAAAAGAAAGAAAGAAAGAAAAGAAAGAACAUUAGGCUGCCAAAGGCAAUAUUACCGUCUGGCAAUAUGGUCCAGUCUCCUCUGCCUGCAUGGCUCUGGGACGUGAGCUCCCUGGAUGGCUUCUUCCAUUUUCCCCUGGCAGGCAGUGCAAGGUUCACCACCUAGUAGGUGCUCCACCACCUAGUAGGUGCUCUGCCAGUGGUGUGGGUUUGUUGCCUUCUGUUGACCGGGAGGAUUUUCAAUGGCCUCUGCCUUGGUACACUUCCAGACACAUAGUGGCAAAGACGUUAAAGUACUACAGGACCUCUCAUUCAUUCCCUAGGGGCCCUUCGUUUUUUCCCUGGUGGCCCCUCCUUCACGCCUCAGGACUUCUCCUUCCCUAUUGAUUUGACUAGAGGAGAAACUGAGAUGCAUAGUUGAACUAUUUCACAGCAUCCUGGAGGCUCCCUGCUGCACCAGAUGUUAACCUUUUAGUUGCUGAAUUUGGGGAAAGUGGGGAGCAGUUCCAGGCAGGCAGCCAGGCAGUGGGAGGGGUUCAAGGCAACUUACCAACCAGACAAGGGCGUUUUACUGGUUAACAGUACCGUGAAUAGCACUGAGGCAAAGGCCUACAGCAGGCCAUGGUCCAUGGGCAGUGCCCACUCCAGGCGCCUGGCCCCGGCCACUUGUUGGGGCCACAGAUGCAGUCACAGGGGCCAAUGUGUUCUGACAGCCUCCAGUCCAGGUGCUGGAGUGUUCCACUCCCCAGCGCCUCUGCUGGCGAGACAAUGCAUUACCGUCCUGCUUUACAGAUGAGGAAAUAUGUUCAGAGAUUUAUCUGCGGUCACAGAGGGAAUGGGGACACCCCCCCCGGGGACAUCUUGGGGGUCCAGACCCCUGAGGGACACUGUGACUCAACCCCAUUUCUUGCAAGACUCCCAUCCUGAAAUAGGGCCCCGCCGAGCACCCGGACAGGUAGAAUGUCCUGGAGCAAGGAGGGAGAGGACUUGGCCACAGGAACAGGAGAGGGGGUGCAGCGGGGAUGGGGGAAGGGAACAGGCUAAGCCUGGCCAGGCCCACGUAGGCAGCAACCGGACGGUCUGAGCAUUUCAUUGCCCACUCAGCCAUGGCACACCCCAGCUCAAAGAUCAUCUCUUCUGGCUCCCUUUAAACAAUAGAAAGAAAUCCAAACCUCCUGGCCUUCAAAGGCCUCACCCGAGCUGUCCAGCGCCUUCAGCCCACCUGCCCAGCACCCUCAGGGCUCACCCACACCCCACCCUGCCCCCUUACCCCACUAGCUGAAAUACCACCUUCUCUCCAAAUCUCCCCGAUGCUUGGCCCUCCUCUUUGGCACUCCACCAUCUCUUCCGGGUCACACGGUCUGAAAUUUUUUAUAUUCAAAAUGUCAAACCCAUGGAAAAACUGGAACAACAACAUGAUAAGUCCUCCUAUAGAACUUUGCCUGGGUUCCCCAACGGUCAGCAUCUCCUGUGAGUGGCCACUGCAUCCCUCCCUGGGAAUACACACCAGUCUACACCUUUUGCCAACCAGCAGGCUGUAGAUGCUGUGACAGCCUCCCCCCCAACACCUGAGCACAGGGCUGCCGUCCUGGGGAACCUCACCUAGGAAAAACGACACUAACUCAGUAACUUCAUCCGCAGCGUUCAGGUUCAAAAAACAACACAGGAAGUCAUCCUCUAGAUGACCAAUUAAAGCUGUAAUGGGACUGAUGUGCCUUUGGCCAGUGUUCCCAGCCCAACGGGCGCCUGCUGACUCUGUUUGAGGUGUAUCCUGGCAGAACUGUUUUGUGCAUCGUCAGGUACACACGAGCACAAAGCUGGUGGCGCUCUGCAUACAUCUUCCUCUCUCAGAAAUAGAAUUACACUGCGUGCGGAAUGUUUUGCAACUGCCUUUGUACUCCCAGAACUUUUCCACAUGUCAUCCUGUGACCUGCAGCUUAGGGUGUCCCACAGCGUAUCUUUGCCAGUCCCCCACGGAGGUUCACGUCCAGCUUGCUUUCCUUUUAUUUGACCAGCCCUCGCCACAUCGGCAGCGUGGCCAGCUCCCCAGGGAGCCCCCUUGCUGCCAGCAGCCACCCCCCCAUCCUGCAGGAGACCCUAAAACUCCCAGAGUGUUGACGUCUCGUGCCCUCGCCCGGAGACACCCGGAGACACCCUCACCCGGAGACAGAGCCAGGAUUCAAACCCAGCCUGGCACCCAGGAGACGUCCCUGUCCUUCCUCCCUUUUAUGACUGCCUGGUUGUUGGGCAGGGAUGGCUCCCGGGGCUGAUAGCUGGUACCUCUCCGAGGGACACUGGCAUGUGUCAUGAUGGCUCCUGGGGAAGUAGAGAGGGUGGGCCUGGGCAUCAGGUCUGUAUCAGACCCCAGCUCUGCCCCUACCUGCUGUGUGACCUGGAAACUGCCCUGGCCUCUCUGUGCCCGGCUUUCCCAACCUGACUCGUAGGGUUGCUGUGCUUGGCACGCAGUCGGCUCUCCAUCGAAGGACAGAAGCCAGUGCUCCCAAAGGGACCUUCUCUUACGAGCUGAAAGGUGACACACGUGGGCCAUGUGUCACCCAGAGCUGCUCCUUGACAGGCGAGGCUAGUGUGACCCAACAGGUCCUCCUGCCCGCACACCCCUCCCACCUGAGGCCUUUCCCUUGUCACUGACAGUGAUGAAGAGCAGGUCACAUUGCCCCAGGAAGUCUGAACUGAGUUUGUGUGACCGGGGUGAAUCCCCCGUCUCCCACGACUGGGUUUCCUGGUCGUUUGAAUAAGGGACAGAGCGCCACUCACUUGGGUCUUAGCUGCAAGGCCCCCAGGGGCACGAUUUACUAAUUGCCCACUGCUUGGGGGCCGGGAGGUAUGGAUUCCAGGGCACAUGAGCCUCUGCCCGGGGACUUUAGGGGACUCCAGGGGACUCAUGCCCAGCCAGCCUCCUAGAACAGGGUUAGCGAUCCAAGGCCAAGUGCAACUUGUUGGGAAAACAGCCCUGCCCACCGCUGAAAAUGUGACUGUGACACAUGGCGGGUCCCAGGUGCCUGAACCCCUGUCACCCAGAAAGCAGAGCUGGAGAGUGUGGCCUACCUGUGGCUAAGGUUUGUUUUGCACCAGAACAGCAGAGCUGAGGAGUUGUGGCAGACACAAAGGCGGAGUAAAAUGCUUUAUGGAGAAAGCAUUCCGACCCUGCCCUGGAAGACAGGGAUCACGACAGCAAUGAUAGCGUGUCUGGGAGCACACUCAGCCCCAACCAGCUCCCGAGCUAACCCGGUGUUACCUCGCUUAAUCCCCCCCCCCCACCCUAAGAGGGAGGGCUUUCAAGAGUCCCAGUUUACAGAUAAGAAAACUGAGGCUCGUUUUCCUUUUGAUGACUAAGCGAUGGAGCCAGCUUUGAAUGCCAGUGUUCCUAUUUCAAAGCCACGUCUCGCCACCUGGUUUGGAGAAGGGGCGGGUCCAGGCGGCUGGGACACUCCAUCUUUCACACAUACAGCCCCCCUCCGGGGCCUGCCGUCCCGGAGGCAGCUGGAUGAAUCCACUUAAUCGAUUUCCUCUAAACCCACUCAAUCCCUGGCGGCAGCUCUCCUGCCGGCCUGACACUUUGCUGGCUGAGGUUUUCUGGGUGAAUCCUCGGCGCCCGCCCACCCGCCCUGCUUGGUCAGACAGACCCCUCCCAGCCUUGUGAUUCUAAACCCUCCGCUCAACGUUUUACAGAACUGCAUGAUAAGAGGCCUGCUGGCCUGUGUGCGAGGGGGAGUUUAUUGGGGUGGCCUCUUAACACUAAAGUCAACGCAGGAAGGGAACAGAAUUGAUGUGCAUAAGGGGACUCAACUUGAAGCUCAGAAGCUGUGGCCCCAGAAGAAAUCAAAGCUGAGGCUGAGGGCUACAAGAGAGCAGGAUUGGGGCUUGACUAGUGGGUUCUCAAUGUGCCAUUUAAUUUAAAAAAAUCAGCCCCCUGGAUGAUACCAGCUUGCCCUUUAAGGCCAGAAUUGGCUGACCUAGCAACCUGGGCACCUGUCCAUCCCAGGAUGUGAUUUCCUGGAACAGAGGGCCUUCAUUAGGGCUGCUGCCCUCUCAGACACGGGCUGGACCGUGAGGGCCUCCCCCGCGGUGCACCUGCCCACCUGGGCACCCCCUGGACCGUGUGGUCCCUGCAAGAGCAGGGCAUUCUUCACACUCGGCUCAGAGGGCCCCAGGGCAUAACGGAUGGAUGACACGUUUAUGGGGUCACAUGUGUGCCCCUCUGCAUGGGUGAGCAUGGCACAGCGCAGAGCCCUCCUCCCUCCCCUCCCCAUGUCCUUUCCCUUCCCAUCCUCUGCACCCCCCUGGUGGAGCGCUGGAGUGAGCAGGAGUUCUGAGCCCCGUUGGGUUUGUUUAGCCAAUAAACAAACUUCCUGAAGUCCUAAAGUCAUACAUAGUACGGUGGACGGGGAAAGGCAGAGGCUCUGGGGUCACACCCUACCCCACACCUCACAGCAAGCCCCCACUCACUUCCAGCCUCUGCUGUCUUUUCUGGAGAGUGGGACACAGUCACCCCACCCUCGAGCUGGGGGCAUCCUGUGUACGUGACAACACCAGGCACUGAGUCAUUUCAGGCCCCCUGGGGCCUCCGGCUGGAAGCCAGGCUGAGGGCAGGUGAGACCGGUGAGGGCCACAGGGUCGCGGAUGUGACACAGUAGCUGUCUAAAGGACCAGGCUGAGGGUGUGCGUUCUAAUAUCCAGAAACAGGUAGCUGCCACUACCAAAUGCACGAGUUAAGGUCAUGUUUGCUCUCUCUUGUCAAUUAUAAUCAUCCGUUUGAAUAGAGGCCACCAGAGUUUUAUUAGCGACAUUAUUGGCUGUCACAGAAUGGCUCUACUCCGUUCCUAAAGUGUCCGUACAAAACUGCAAUUUCCCCUCUGCUCCUGCACUCACUCUCAUGCUCAGCGUCUCCUAGGAGCUCCCCAUAGCCUAAGGCCUGCCCCACUCCAGGCCUAAACUGGAAAAUGAGGGCCUGCCCACCUUUCCCACCUGUGCUGUGUUCCCACGGUAAUGAACCAGCAGUAAUCCCGAGCACCCAAGCUGUCCCCACACCUCUGCACCUCUGUGCCAUUCCUUCUGCUCUCCAUCCCCUGUGCUUUGAGCCCUCAGCUCCCUUAUCCACUUGUCCCUUAGAGCUGGAUGGUGUCAGAUGCUCACAUAGUAACCUUUGUUCAGCCCGCCCUGCCUUCUUCCUGUGGAUGCUCCACUUGGAGGAAUCAGGGUUGGUCCAAGCCAGUCACGGCAACCACUUUUCCUGCAACUGGUGACUGGCUGAGGAAGGGGCUCGGGACCCAGUUCUGGCCAAUGAGGUAUUAGAGGAAGUCUUUGGGGGCUUCCAUGAGAGAUUCUCCUUCCUGAGAAGAGGUGGGCAGGGUUCAAGAAGGUGCCCUCUUGCUUCCGACUUGAGUACUAACUGUGCAGAUGUGACGGAGUGGAGGCAGCCACAUGGCAACCGUGAACCAGUGACACCAAUAUUUUGUUAACGGUAGAACGGAGAGGCAGGCGGCACCUGGGUCACUGAUGACAUUGUGAGCCACCAGACCACCUCUGGACCUCCCAUCUCUCACAUCGUCAUUAAACAUUCAAUGUUAGAUGCCUUCAUAGUUUAAGCCACUCUUGGUAGGGUUUUCUGUCACUUCAGCCAAACACAUCCAACUGAUACAGCCUUCUAGUGUCGGUUAAAAUGUCUCUGUUCUUAACUAGUUCCCCAGCAGACUUGGAUCUCUGCCCCUGUCCCUGUACUCUACACCCAUGAGCUACGGUGCUCUGUCUGUCUGGUUGGCCCAUUCAUGAUUGGUCUGUGAACACCUCUGGGACAAGCCUCUGCCUUUUCCUCUCUGGCCAACCUGAGCCUGCACACAGUGGGCCUUUGGGUCACCCCAGGGACCUCACCACACCCUCUCCUCCCCCAUCAUGGCCAGAGCCUCCAGCCAUCAUGGAGCCUUCCAGUUCACUUUGGCCCAAGCACUGCUUCCGGACCGCAAGGGCUUCGACAGCCUCUUCAGUGUAAAGCGUGAGGUCUUUCCUAAAUAGAGCUUUCCAGCUGUCAGCUCUUGCCUCGUGUGUCCCUUCAAGUGCUAAGCUGUUGAUUUCUUGUCAGCUUGGCCUCUCCUGUGGCAGGCACGGGAGGCCACAGUGCACAGAAAGGAGUGCACGAGUGAGACAUGGAAAGUGCAGUGAUGGAUACAUCCCAUUCCAAACCGAGUGAGACUCUUGGCAUGUUCUGGAAAAGACCUCGGGUGUGCAAGUCGGGCGUCAGGUUCCCCAAGGCUCCAAGGAAAGAGAUGUCCCAGGCAUGAUGGAGGGGUGAAGGCUCUUGGCCUCCCUUGUAGCAGCUCCCAAUGCCGGCUGUGAAUGGGGGACUGCCCUGUUGUCACAGGAGCAGGACUCUGCCAAGGAAAGCAAGGGAAAGAGAGGGAUUCUAGUCUUCGGGGAACUGGGAAGGUGUGUUAGUGCUGGGGAAAGAAGGUCCCUGCCUGCCUUCAGUGCACAUUGCUUUUUUGAGUCUUGUAACAGGCACAUGACAGUUACCAAGUCUCAGGCACCCACAGAAUGCCAGGCGUGGGGCCAGGUGCCCUGACACACGGAGAGGCCAUACCAUGAGGCUUCUCAGGCUGCACACAGCAGAAUGCAGGUGUGCAAUCUGGGCUCCACACUUCCAAGCUAUAGCCCUGUCACCUCCUUUCUCUGAGCCUCCGCCACGUCCUCUAAAAUGGGGUCAUCAGUUGCUACCUUAACAGGGUCGGUCCUAUGAGGAUUAAUUUGGGUAAUGUGACUGGCCCAGCCUAUGGCAGGCCGCCAACAGAUACUGUGUUUGAAUCCAUUUGGAUCUCCAGGUUAGACUGUGGAGUUUUGCACUGUUAUCUCAAAGUCCCCCUUGAACCUAGCCUAAAUCCAUACUGUCACAAUUCCAGGAUGCUCCAUUUAGACAACUUCAAGGAGCAAUUGGAGUUGUUGUUGUUGUUGUUGUUGUUGUUGUUGUUGUUUGAUAGCCACUGAGUGACAGAAAAACCAAAGCGGCCUAAACAAGCAAUCAAACGAGGCAGGAGAGAAUGAUUUACGUCCUAAGAAGGCUAAGGGCAGACAGUUUUAGGCAAGGCCGUAGCUGGGUGCUUGAUGACAUCAGUAGCAAUCAUCUUUCCCGACCUCUUGGCCUUGCUUACUUUCCUCUGUGCUGAUGUCAUUCUCAGCUGGGCUUUUCUGUUAGGAAAGCAAGAUGGCUCCCAACAGUCACCUUCAGCCUCCCAACAGAGAAAGAACCCCUCAUUCCCUAUGAUUCCAGCCCUAAGGUCAGGACCCACUGGGACCUAACUGGCACAUACCCAGUGCUGAGCCAAUCACUGUGGCCAGGGAGGAUGGCCAGAUUGAGGUCGUGUGACCACCCUCCCUAAGGAGACUCCCGAGCUGUUCAACCUGUUUUCCUGUGUGGGAGUGAACCUGAGAGAACAGAGGCAUGGCAGAGGGGCUGCUGAACAGUGAAAACAGAUGUGAGCACACGCGUGAAGAACCAGGGUGAGUAAUUUACCACUUUUCUUUUCCUUUUUCCACGACAAUGGCAAUAUUCCAGAUAGAGACAGACUGCUCUGUCAACCUGAGUCCAGAGGGGAGAGGAGACGAAGGAGAGCCACAUGUGCGUGUAGUCUGAGACAUAAAGAAACUUUAUUGUAGGCCACAGAGAUUUAGAGGAUUGUGUGUUACGCAGCGUAACCCAUCCUAACCUAACCGAUACGCAUAAUCCAUGAACACUUGCCCAUCGCCCCAUUGCUUUGCUGAGGCACCACUGGCCUUUCGGUCCUUACACAGGUUGCUCCCUCCCUCCUUACAACAUUUGUCUGUGACUCUCUCUCUCCUGGGAAAUUUCUUCACUCCCACUGUUGGGCAGUUGACAGUUACUCACCAAUGAGGUCUUGGCUUCGCUGUGAAGUACUCAGGAAAGGAUGGCCUGGUCUCUGUUCAGAAUGCCUAGAAUUUACCUUCUUUGUCAUUAGAGCUCUUUCACUACACUCUAAGUUGGAGGAAAACAGAGCCCAGGGAUUUAGAUCAUGCUUCUUUGAGGCCCUACUCCACCCCCCACCCAUGUGCCCGGGCCCAUGCUGAGGGGCUGGAGGUAAGGGGGUACAUCAGCCCUGUGAGAUCGUGACCUGGGCUGACAGCAAGAGUCAGACGCUUAAUCGACAGAGUCACCCGAGCGCCCCAUCCAUGGAUGUUUUUGUGAGGAUGAGGAAACAGGAGCACAGAGGAGGGUUGAGUUUGUACCACGAGACUGCAUGGUCCCUUUGGACCCCGACCAGGCCCUAGCUCUCCCUCCUGGUGACUGGUCCAAGACCCGUGGAUGGGUCUGCCAUGGGGCCCCUCACGGAGUGCAGAAGAGCUUUGUCCCUGAACCCUGGAUCCAUGCUGGGUCUGGGCCUGCCCUGGGCCUCCUUGGCCCUGGAGGGUGCGCUCCCCAGCUUCCGAGGCUGAGCCAGCCAGCCGGUGUUGCUCCUGUUUGCGGCCGGGGAGUCCCACCUCCAGUUAGAGACUUCUCUCUUUUGUAGGCUCUAGAAACUCUGAGAAGGGCCCUAAAUGCUGGGCCCUCGAUUAAGGGGUUUCAGAAGGCAGGAGCCUCAGGGACGCCUUGCUUUGCAAAGGCCUUUGUGUUCCAGGAACUGCUCUCUGUGGCCACCUCAAGACGAGGUGUUUUUGACAAACAUGUGUCACCUGCAUGACACUUGUAAGCAGUUAUGCCAUGGCCAUAAAUCUGGGCUUGUGCUGCCGAGUGCGAUACCGGCUCCUACAUGUGGCUGAAGCACUGCCAACGGUGUCUCUGCUGGUUUGUCUGGCAGUGGGGGGUGCCAGGCUGCUUCAGGACACAUCGGCUCCCAGCCAGUGGCUGUAUGCUAUGAAGGUCCCAACGCCGACGUCUUUCUCAGCAUCCCACUCCCCCUUCCUGACCUUCCUGGCUCCCACUGGAUGUCUCACAAUGUGGACACUUUUGCACCCAGUCAUGCUAAUUGCUCUGAAAAGAAAUAAAGCGGGAGGAGUGUGCAGGGAGUGACGCAGGCCAUUUGUAAGAAAGAUCUGUGAUCUCCGGUUUGUUUAACAAACCUACUGGGUCAGAGCCUGAAGGAAAUGGGGGGGAGCCGUGCGGGUAUCCGGGAAGAGCAUGCUAGUCAGGAGAGCUGCACAUGCAAAGGCCCGGAGGUCAGGUUGGGUCUUAUGGGUUGCAGGCAGGUGUGUCUGGAGUGCAGUGAGAGGCGCAAAGCUGGGAGCAGGGUGGGAGUAGGGAGCAUCGUGUGGGAUGGUGAGGCAUUUGGCUUUCACCUGGAGUGUCACGGAAAGCGGCUGGAAGGCCCUGGGUAGGUCCAGGAAACCGCAGAGGAGGCCAGAUGGCUUAGGCGCAGCCGCUCCCGGUCCAACUAGACCUUGGUCGUAACUGUGCUGACUGUAGAUCCUAGCUGUAGAGCGGAACCCAGGUGACAGCAAACAUGAGGGCCAGGUGACGGUCCCGAGGCCACCAGUCCAUCUGUCUGCAGCCAGGCCUCUGCCUAUAGAUCCUGCAGCCUGUGCAUCCUGCCCAGAAUGCUGGGAUGCCGGGAUCAGUUAGGUUCUGCUGCGGAAUAACCACCCCGAAAUGUAGCGGCUUGCACCAACUGUUGACUUAGCUGGGCAGCUAGCUGCUCGGGCAGGUCUUCCGGGCUCACUCAAGCAUGUGUGGUCAAUGGCAGGGGUCGGCUGAUUGCCGGCUGGCUGUUGGCCGGGGCGACUAGGGGCGGUGGUGAGUAGGCUACACGUGUCCCAUUCUUCCAGGAGGCCGUCUGGGCUUCUGCACAUGGUGGUGCCAGGGUCCCGAGAGGGUGGGCACGCAAGGCCACGAGGGUCUUUGUGGCCUACGCCUGAAAAUAGCACGGCAUCAUUUCCACCACAUUCUGUCGGCCAGAGCAAGUCACGGAGCCAGCGCAGAUUCAAAGUGGGGGGAUCUAGACCCCACCCCUGGUGGGAAGAGCUGCCCCAUCAUAGUGCAAAGGGUACGGAGACAGGGGACUGGAGGAACAGAGCUGUUUAGGGGUCAACCGCAGUGUCCCGUGUUCUGGAGAGAGGAGCAAGGCAGGAGCCAGGGCCCCAGAACAGUCAGCCAUGGCUGUGUCUCUGUCGCCCUGAAGAAACCAGACCCCCAACAAUCCAGGACUAGGCAGAGGAAGCUCGGACCAUUUGUUCCUUUGUCACCAAAUGCCACCUAGCCAGUAGCCAUAGACUCAACAGUCCCCAUGGAGGUGUCUUUCUCUGGGAUGCUUACACCCAAGGACUGCGGAGAUCAUAUGGAACAUCGCACACCUUUGGCACCACCUCUUCCAGGAAGCCCUCCAGGCUUCUUCUGGGCUCUCCCAGGCUCACCGCCCUGCCCCCGUCACAGAAGUCAGUGUACUUGUGUCCCUCAUUGACGCACGUGUGUGUCAGCCUCCUGAGUCAGAAAGGCCAAGGCCUGAGGACGGGGCUGUGUCUCACUCACCCCGAAUCCCUACUCCUAGCUGGGAGUGUGCACUGAGGAUGAGGCUGGCAAGGUAUGGGUAUACUGGGGACCUGCGUUCAGGGCUGACUCACAGUUGAUGUCUGCAAGGGAAGGGGAGGGUCACUGUACCUGGUAGCAGGCCCCAGAUGAGCUCGGCCUGGAGCCGGGACGGGGGGUGCUGGGAACGCAUGCUGGAUGCAGGCGGCAGCCAGAGCUCAGCGGAGCAAGGGCAGAGACCACAGUCCUCUUGCAGACAGAAAUGGGUCUCAAGCUCUGGGCGCAGGCACCAAGGCAGGAAGGCAGCCCACAGGAGAGCGUGCAGAGAAGCCACUCCGGGUGUUCAAGGCCAGCACUGGGCAGAUGGAAAGGCAGGCAGGACCUGCCAACCCCGAGGGAAAAAGAAACAUCAGCCACGUUUGGCUAUAGUCAGCUUUCGUUUACUGGAGUUUCCCUUGCCUGAGAUCCACUGUACCCAAAAUCAAUAUUAUUAGCAUUAAAAAAGAGAAGCCAACUAGGAGGUAGCAACCCCGAAUGCACUGUGGUUUCGGUGCCAUCCCAGCGCAGGAGAAAAACCUUCAUCACCUUCUCAUGCAUACCAGAGACAAGGGAGGGAAGAAUGGCGGCGGCGGGGCGGGGGGUGGGGGGAGCGGUCUUCACGAGGCCUCCAAGAGUGCCUCCCUGGGGCUCAUAGUGAGUUAAGCCAGCCUGGCCUGCGAGUGUGCCAGCUCGUCCUGCCCACCUGGCGUCAGCACCAUUGCCCCGGCCUGGGCCGGGCCGUCUCCCGUGGGGAGAGAGCUUGAAGCUUUUGCAGUUUGUAGUGGUCUGUUGUAUUUAGAAACCCGAGCAUCCCAGGGUCAUAAAUUACCUUGAACUAGUUUGCUAACCCUUGUGACUCGGUACAGCGCCUUCUCAGAAGCGGCCAGUUAUGUCACGGACUGAGUGAGGCGUGGCCCAGUCCCCGCAGCGAGGCAGCGUGUGCCAGGCCUGGCGUGGAUGGUAGCCACCCAGGACCACGGGGACGAUGCAGGGAGGUGCCGCAGGUCUGUGCACGGCAUUUCUGUGGAAAUGCACUCCAGAAGGGAGAAGGGUCUGUGAGUCCAUGAAGUGGGAUUCUCACUCCCGGCACGUGGUCGUGAGAGCUGUACCACAUGGAAGAGGCCGAGGGCACCGUGUAGUUCAGCAUUCCUGUUACGUCCCUGCUGGAGGAUCAGCUCCUGCUGGCACCUUCCCACGGAUGGGGGCUCAUCGCUGCCUGAGACAUUGCACACUGACAGGAAGUUAGCUUCCCGCAAAUUCCAGCUCCAUCAUCUGGGUACAUGUUCUGAAUCGGUGCUUGCAACAGCCUGGACAGAGUGGGAGGCCGUUGCAAGGCUGCUGGCCAGCUAGGACGGCUCUCCCAGCCUUUCCUCCAUUGCCACAGCCCUCUGGCCACAACAGGUGCUAAAGGGCCCAUCUGGUUAGACAUUCCGAGUGUUACCCCUGCACUGCAAGUUCAUUGGCCACGGCAAUGUUGACAUCAAGAGAAACACGUGUCAUUUUCUCAUCUCUAGAAAGAGCUCCAACGCCCUUCCUGUUUUGUAUUCGAAAGCAGAGGGGUGACCCACACUUUCUGGGGUCAUGGGGAGGAGAUUCAGGUGUGAAGGGAGCAUCUGCUUGUAAUGUGGGAUCCAGUUCCAGGAUCCCCUGGCGUUCCUUGAAAUUUGCUGGAGAAACACAACCCAUUUGAUGUGCAAAACCAGGCUUCCAACAGAAUGGGACAGCUGAAACAGCCCAAAAAUGGACAAGCCGCAUGAAACAGGUUUUGAAGGCUGCAGCCUUUCAGGCAGUCUGAGCCUCCCGGAGCAGCAGGGAACGGGUUUUGCCGGGAGAUGCCCGUUUGCGAUGGCGCGCACUUCUUUUCCCCCGGGCGAGACAGGUGCAAACUCAGAUGUAUUCAUUUUCCACAAACGAAACGACUCGGUUUUGACCAUGUUGCAGACCUAGGACUUGGCUCCCUUGUUCCCGGGGGGUGUGUGUCUGGUUUUCACUCCAUUCCGAAGGAGCCUGUGCAGGCUCCCAACUUUGAACCUUCUAAUGAUAAUGAUUUACUGGUUUCAGGGGGUUCGGGGUGGGGGUGGCGGGGGGAGGUGGGACAAGAAGAGUGAUGCAGAGUUUGGAGUCUGAAGGAAUGAUUAGCUGCGUGGAGGGCCCGGGGCCAGUGCUCAUGCUGUAGUUAAGGCACAAGGACUUUCCGCAGCACCAAAGCAUCUCCUUUUGCUUCUCAUCAACCCCUUGAAACGAACUCAGUCAAUUUCACUGAUAGGAAUCAGUACCACGUAAUGAGUGUCCGCCAUGGGUCGGGGCCUCACCGCACCUGUACAACCAACCCCACCUGUUCAAGAGGGUUAUGGUGCGCCCCAGUGUUUGAGCUCUGGGAGACUGGGGUAGAGAAAUGCUGAACAGCUUCCCUAGACAACACGGCUUUCAAAUGCAGAUCUGAGACUUCCCACCCAAAGCCUUUCCAGGUCCUGUCCUUGGCGCCUGUGGAAGGUACAGAUUUCCAGGCCCUGUCCUUGACGUGUCUGACUCGGUAGGGUCGGGGGGCAGGGCCCGAGACUCUAAAUUUUGCCCCCUUCCCGCGUGAUUCCAGCAGGCAGCCUGCACACCCAGCCUCUGUCCAAGCAGGCCAGCGUCCAGUAUUCGGCUGUGCCCACCUCACCAGUGUGAGCUCAGAAACACCGAACCAAGCAGUUCCCGUAGAUCCCCCCACCCCCCACCCCCCCACCCCUGGCAGAAGAAUCCUAAAACCCUGACUGGCAUUUUCCAAAGGUCCCAGCAAGCUUCUCGGGACCCUGAGCAGCCAGCCAGUGAAACAUGGGGACUGCUUGUUUGGGGAGUGUGGGGGCUGCUUCUGGAGAAGGUGGGCUUGGUUACAAGUGUUGUCUUCAUUGGAACGAGGACGUGGAAGGGAAAGCAAUGAGUCCAAAUUAAUCCGUUUUCCUGUGAACGUCUCCCACCACCCCGUGCCAAGGCGAGGCAGCCUUUGUAAUUAACUGACUGGGCCUUUUCUCCCCCCAAACCCAAAAUGGGAGCGUGCGAUUUAUUUUGUGUGCGAGGUGGUAUGAAAAUUGCCAAAGUUGGCAGAUGAGGCUGGGAUGUUGGUGGAGCUGGGUCAACAGGGCUGAGCUGUCUGUCACCUCCAGGUCGGAAUGGGGAGCUGGCUCCAAAGCAGGGACAGGGGCCGGGGCCACGGAGGUGCUGUGCGUGCCGAGGGCUGAGCAGGUGGCCUUGGGAGGAGAGCAGAAACUUCUUAGCACUGUGGAUGGGAGUAGAGGCACUACAGUUCUGAAAUCAAACCCUUCUCCUCGUCCUACCCUGUGUCACCACGGACCAGACACUGAACUCUCCAAGCGUCAGAGUCCACGUGGGUUCAGCGGUCUUUACUGAGUGCCUGCCGUAUGUCGUGGACCCGAGUUCAUCUGCCUGAUGCGCAUAAAGACCAUCACUGAGACACGGGGUAUAAAGCAAAGCAAGAGUUUAUUCCAGAGGCAGGAGGGCGAGCCUCACAUCCACCUCCCUAGAGGAGGAGAGUCAGGGGUACUUAGUGGUGAAGGAAAAAGGUCAGGGUACAGAGUUGCGGCUGCUAGCCCUUUGGUUACCCUUUUCAGUCCCCAGGUCUUUUGAUCCGUCCGCAUUCUUGUGGGUAUUGGGACCACCACCCGGCCGCGGCCGUUACUUCCUGCUGAGGUGGGGUGGAGACUGGGGUUAGACAAGGGGAAACUUUGGGGUGGAAAGGAAUGGCCUGCAUUACCGGGAUUUUUGUACUUUGGUCAAUAGUUCCUGUACCAUGUUGUGUCUAGGGCUUUAGGGGUACUAGAGAACAACAGGCAGCAUGUUGUCCUCAUGGCUUGAUUCCCUUGUACCAGUUCCCCCACGUCGGAGGUUCAGGUCCAGCAGAGGCUCACUGGUCUGAGCCGGGUCCCUUUCGACCUCCUCCCUGCUGACAGGUGUAGGGAACCUGUGGAUUCUUGUCAUUCAAGUGUGAAUCCACGGCUCAAUUCCCUGUAGUCUCGGGGGAGUGGGGGGUCAACGGCACCUCGCAGGGUCUGACCUGGACAGUGAGGCUGGAGCUGGUCCUCUGGGCUCCCGCUCUUCAGGUCUUUAGUGACAUCUUGAGUGACACCUUUGGAUGUCACCAAGGGAUUCAGGCAGCGUGAAGACACAUCUGUGAGGUACAUCAGCCUGCCGGAAGCAAACUCAGGCCCUGGAUGUACCUGAUAGUAUCCAAAUCGCUGGUGGGAGCCCCGCCAGCACCUCCUAGGUCACGAAAAGAACAUAGAAAGUCUUGCAUAUGACAUUCCACAGGGGCUUAAACCAAGCCCUCUUCUAGGGACCACUCUUUCCCAAAGCAGGGCAGAUGGCACGGGUUGUUCCCAAGUGAAGUGGGUUUCUUGGCAGAGCUUUGCCAAAGUUCAUUUUUUCCCCCUUUUUCCACUCUCUCGGUGUCUCCAGGAAGCGUGUGAUUUCCACUGAAUGCCCAAGGCCUUGGACUCUGUGGUUGUCACUCCACUGUCCCUCUGAAUUAUUAGCGGCAGUCCAAACCUAGAAAUGAUCUUGCUUCAAAGCAUUUUGACAACUCCCGAGGCCUUCUCUGAACACCAGGGAGGAACCUCAACCCCGUUGAUAAAGGUGUCUGCAGAUACAAGCAAACCCCGAGAAUUUCCCAUUGUUCUUUGCAUUCUGGGAAAGGCUGCGUGCCGGUCUUCCCCAGGUUUGGGGCGUCUCAGUUGUAUACCCUUGGGAACUUGUGGGCACCCAGUCUUAGGGUUGUUUUUAGCACAAGCGUUGCCUUUUGUAGCAUUUCGCUGAAACCGGAGCCCGCAGUAUACUUCUGGAUCCACUGAAGAGGGGCAUCUUUCCCAUAACGGGUGCUUCGAGGAAUGUGGCUAAUUAUUUCUUUCAUCAGAUGCUCUAGGGUAAGGAUUCCUUCUAUUUCCAGCCGGUGUCAAGGCCAGCACGGUGUCCAAACCCCCACUCCUUACUUAACUCCUCUUUGGUCCUCCAAGGGACGUUGGGGUUGAUAUGUAGUUAAGUCUAUCUUUGGCACGAGAGCUCUCCCAGAGGGUCUUGGAGUCUUUGACGGGCUGCCAGCAUGGUUCCCUUGGGCAGUCGGUCCACUUUGUGGCGUCUUCCGCAGCGGACGGUAGCUGAUGGGUCACCACUGCUCCCAGCUCUUCCUUGUCUUUGACCCGUGACACUGUCCCCAUCCGUGAACACGUCCACGUCUGGAUGCUCCGAUGGCAGCUUGUCCAGUCGGGAUGGCUGCGAUCAGCUUGUUCAGCUCUCCGUGUGUCUCUGGCGAUCUUUCUGAGUGGCCCUUAGAUCACCGGGCCACUUUUCCCUCACGUGUACCUCGGCUGGCCUGGCUUCGGUUUGCGGGGCUUCAGGGAAAAGCAGUGUUCGUUCUCAGGGCUUCCAGUCAACACGGUGGGAGAAAACUGGAAACCUUAGUUUGGAGAGUCAGGGUCAGAUAUUCAAGGAAACCAGAAGAAGUCAGGACCCAGCCCAGGUGUAUAGACAACCAACGAAGCCUCCCAGACGGCUCAUCGGAACCAUGAUCUUACAUUUUCACAGGUGUGUUACUGGAACAAUCUCUCUCUCUGAAACCACCCUCAUCUCCGCCAAAGAGAGCCAGAUUAGGACACGUUUGUUUGUGAAAUUGUCCAGUUGAAGCUGGGCCUGUUUACACAAGCGCCAUCACAACGGUGAUUGGUCAUAUAGGUGUUGGGUUUUUCAAUCUGCUUCGCUGGAACUUUUCGUAAGGAAUGUCAGAUUGAACUUUUAACAGCCUUGUCAGGCUAAAGAAGCCAAGCCAAAUACUGGCCAUCAGCCUUUGCCUGCCAUACCUAUAGGUGUGGGUGGCUCCCUCUCUUCUCGAGAUCCCCCAAAUACCCUGAGGUUCCUGCACCUGCCAGGAAGUGACGACCUUCCUUAUUCACCUGGUAGGGCUGCUGGAAACUUUGUAAGCAAGGUACGAGGCAAGUUUUCCAAGGGGCUUCAUUGGCUCGGCAAAGUCAACCUUAACUAGCUCCUUAAAGCUCUCUGAUUGUAGCUGAGUCUAGGCAUAUCUCCCUCAACUAUGACAUUCCAGUCAAAGCCUUGGCAACAUGACCAAUGUUUCCAGUGGCGUCCUGUUGCAAGGAGAACGGAUUCGUAUCGAACUUCUGCAAAUAAAUACACUGCCGUGAAAGUACGAGAAUACUCCCUGAGAGUUUUGAAUUCUGGUGGUACCAGGUAGGGAGAAAGGGAUAAAUGUUUCCUAUCUGUGUAUAAAGAAAUUAUUUACCAAACGUCUACCAAAUGUCAUAGGCAGACUUAAAUUUAGAAGAGCAAACAUUAGAGGACCAGCAAUGUUUACACAAGGGUCUGUUUGAAAGCAGUUUCCCCAUUAGUUCUGGGAAUUCUUACUAAGCUUAGCUUUAUGAUCCUGAAGGGAUCAGAGAGCUGUAUUUGUCAAUGCAGUGCAGCUGGCAAGGAGAUUCUGUGACACACGCUACUUCAGUAGUUAGUAUUACAAGCGAUGACGCUAUACCAGGACAUAUCAAACCCUUAGGAAUCUUAUAAAAUCUCUAGGACACUUAGAGCAAUCACCCAUACAACAAAGCCUAAGAAGGUUCCUCAUCGCUUAUUUGAUGAUGCCUCCCAUGUCAUUUGACACACCAGGGAAUAAGCCUAAUUCGUCAAAAAGACUUCCAUUCACAAGCUGGGUUUUUGGAAGUUGGUGAAAUACCAGAAGGUUUCAAAACACGUGCCUAAAUAGGAUUACAGAUCAUUACAAAACAGGAUACUUAUUUAGCCGGGAUGGCAAGAAGAGAUUCUCAAGGUAAAUGCAGACAGCAAGGUAAAUGGAGCUGUGAGCAAACCUUAGCUCUCUUAACACUGAGCAGAUUCAACUUUCUUAAGGAAGCAAAGACCUAACAGAGACAAGACAUAGAAACUUUGUUUUUCUAGGCAGCUUAAAGAUAAAGAAAAACCUCUGUUGAUAAUUUAGACCCAUCAUCUAAGAAGCCUCUGUCACAUGAACAGCGAGAAAACCCAAAUUCCAGUCUUAUACCGUUGUACUUUGGAUAUUAAAACUCAUUCGUUGCAACAAGAUGAAUUUUUAAAAAGA